rnacentral:rRNA from 1 species
ACAGAGGUCCCAAGCGUUGUUCGGAUUUACUGGGCGUAAAGGGUGCGUAGGCGGUCGGGUAAGUCUGAUGUGAAAUCUCCGAGCUUAACUCGGAAAUGGCAUUGGAUACUAUUCGGCUGGAGAGUUGGAGGGGGGACUGGAAUACUUGGUGUAGCAGUGAAAUGCGUAGAUAUCAAGUGGAACACCAGUGGCGAAGGCGAGUCCCUGGACAACUUCUGACGCUGAGGCACGAAAGCUAGGGGAGCAAACAGGA